AAUUUUUGACAAUGGGGGAAACCCUGAUCCAGCCAUCCCGCGUGUAUGAUGAAGGCCUUCGGUCUGUAAAGCACUUUUUGCAGAGAAGAAAACGUAUCCCCUAAUACGGGAUACUGCUGACGGUAUCUGCAGAAUAAGCACCGCCUAACUACGUGCCACCAGCCGCGGUAAUACGUAGGGUGCAACCGGUAAUCGGAAGUACUGGGCGGAAAGGAGGUGUAGGCGGUUCGGAAAGAAGGAUGUGAAAUCCCAGGGCUCAACCUUGGAGCUGCAUUUUUAACUGCCGAGCUAGAGUAUGUCAGAGGGGGGUAGAAUUCCACGUGUAGCAGUGAAAUGCGUAGAUAUGUGGAGGAAUACCGAUGGCGAAGGCAGCCCCCUGGGAUAAUACUGACGCUCAGACACGAAAGCGUGGGGAGCAAACAGG
rnacentral:rRNA from 1 species